CCUACGAGUGGCUGCAGUGAGGAAUAUUGGUCAAUGGACGAGAGUCUGAACCAGCCAAGUAGCGUGAAGGAUGACUGCCCUAUGGGUUGUAAACUUCUUUUAUAUGGGAAUAAAAUGUUCCACGUGUGGGAUUUUGUAUGUACCAUAUGAAUAAGGAUCGGCUAACUCCGUGCCAGCAGCCGCGGUAAUACGGAGGAUCCGAGCGUUAUCCGGAUUUAUUGGGUUUAAAGGGAGCGUAGGUGGAUUUGUAAGUCAGUUGUGAAAGUUUGCGGCUCAACCGUAAAAUUGCAGUUGAAGCUGGCAGUCUUGAGUACAGUAGAGGUGGGCGGAAUUCUUGGUGUAGCGGUGAAAUGCUUAGAUAUCACGAAGAACUCCGAUUGCGAAGGCAGCUCCCUGGACUGUAACUGACGUUGAGGCUCGAAAGCGUGGGGAGCAAACAGGAUUAGAUACCCUUGUAGUC
rnacentral:rRNA from 1 species